UUAACGGCCGCGGUAUCUUAACCGCGCGAAGGUAGCGUAAUCACUUGUCUUUUAAAUGGAGACCUGUAUGAAUGGCAUAACGAGGGUUUAACUGUCUCCUCCUCCCAGUCAAUGAAAUUGAUCUGCCCGUGCAGAAGCGGGCAUAAAAACAUAAGACGAGAAGACCCUAUGGAGCUUUAGGUAAAUGAUCAAGCAAACACAGCCCCGCUUGCAUGCAAAGCUAAGGAAACCAUACGCCCCUGAUCAAAGUACCUUCGGUUGGGGCGACCAUGGAGGAAAAAAGAGCCUCCAAGUGGAAAGGGAAAACCCUUCAGCUAAGAAGAACACCUCUAAGUACCAGAAAAUCUGACCAAGAAUGACCCAGGAUACCCCUGAUCAACGAACCAAGUUACCCUAGGGAUAACAGCGCAAUCCUCUCCCAGAGUCCCUAUCGACGAGAGGGUUUACGACCUCGAUGUUGGAUCAGGACAUCCUAAUGGUGCA
rnacentral:rRNA from 1 species